UUUUGAAUGCAUAGGAAAUGCUUCAAGAUGCAACCUUUCCACACCUUGCAUCCUGAAACCUUUCCCAUGCAUCCAAAUUGUCCAGGUUUCAGGUGUGCUAAGAGAAGGGCUUCCUGAGAAGAAAGCUAAUACCUACCUUCAAGCACUGAGAAACUGUUGGUGCCCAUGUCAGAAGCCUUUAUUCUCUCCCUGUUUAGCCAAUAACAAUUGUGUUCUGCAGAAAGAAACUGAGUUUCUGAGGGAACCGAGAAAGCAUAUAAUGUGUACCAUUUAGAAGGGAAGGGACAACAGAAUGUUGCAGUGUCAUCUCUGGCCUAUGUGAUAAUUUUACUAUGAAAUUUAAAAAAAUACCUUUUUGAGAUUCUCAAGAUGAUCUUGUAGUAUGUGCUCUAAACCUAAGCCUCUAUUCUGGUGCUCAGAGUUUGAAACUAUUGAGCAAAAUGAUCUGUGCAGAUUUGCCAAAGAUUCACACUUACUGUACUAGACCAGCAGACACCUGUUUUUUUUUUUUUUCUUUUUUUUACAUUGUGAACAUAUAUAAUUCAUAUGCCUUACAACUUAUUUAAUGCAUAAUUUACACACUUUUGCUAGUUUUUACAAAUGGGAUUUGGAGUGCAGUUCCCUAAAGGUAAGCCAGUCCUAAAACUAACUCUGAGCAAACUUUUUUAUUAUUCUUCUGCUAGGGGGUCCCAAGUGGUAGAUUUAAGGUGAUAUAUGAAAGAGGGCAAGGUUUGAGUAAUAGGAGAGCAGUGAUGAGAGAGAGGAAGUGAAGGCCCAUGGACUCUGUCUAAAGCUUCCGUAAGGAUUUCUCAGGCACAGUUUUACUUACCUUCAGAGGACAAGGCAGGAUUUUUUUUUUUAACUUAUCUGUAACACAGGUUUAACAUGUGUGUUCUUUUCUGGCACAAACACCGAGUCAUUUGUUCCUUAUGGCAAUGACAAAUCUACCCCAUGUAGAGUAAGCAAAGAGGAAACUAGGUUAAAGGACAAGGAAUAACUGAUAUCUUAGGAGGCAAAGCCCUGGUACAAAUAGUUUGAAUAUAAAGGCAAACUGUUGGGUAAGAGGCUAGUGUCCCUUUAAGUGGGAUUAAGAUCACCAUCUUCAUGAUUACAGAGUGGCAUUCAUUUGCAAUUUUAGUGUACCAUCUGUGACACCCAACCGGAGUCUUAAAUUUGCCUUUUUGUUUUUUCGGUUUGUUUUUUCUCCUUUCAAUACCAGCUAAAGUUUCCACAGUGUACUUGUUGUUUCAAAAUCUACAAACUGUUCACUCUGCAGUUGAAUUACUUUACUUUGCUAUCUCCCUCUCAUUUAACACACUAAUGCAAGUAUCUUAGAUUUAAAAAAAAAAAAAAAAGAGUAACCACAUUUUUUAUAACUCUACAGUAAGAGGGUUCUGAAGCUUGUUAAUUUAUAAAGAGCUUCUAAAAGCCUGGUGAGUCCCAAAGUGAAAUGAUAAGAGCUUAUUUUAAAACUAAAAUGAUGGGUAUGCCAUCUCAGAGUUUAGAAAACAAAAUCUUUCAGAACUACUGAU
rnacentral:lncRNA from 10 species